GUUUUAGAAGCUAAAAAGAAGCAAUGGCCUUGUAAGCCAAAAAAUGAAAAUAUUUUCCUAAAACC
rnacentral:tRNA from 1 species